rnacentral:lncRNA from 1 species
AUUAAAGAGGAGAUUUAAAAAUUCUUAGAUGUAAAUGAGAACACUGAUAAAACAUAUCAAAAUCUCUGUAACACUAUGAAGGCAGUAUUAAGAGGAAAGUUCAUUGCAUAUAGUUCAUUCCUUAAAAGAAGAAAAAGUCAACAAAUAAAUGACCUAACAUUACAUCUCAAAGCCCUAGAAAAAAAAGAACAAUCAACACCAAAAGCAGUAGAAGAUAGGAAUUAAAACAGAGCAGAAAUCAACAAAAUUGAAACAAAAGAAACAAUUUUAAAAAUUGACAAAACAAAAAGUUGGUUCUUUGAAAUAAUAAAUAAAAUUGAUAAAUGCUUGGCCAUGCUAAUGAAGAGAAGGAGAGAGAAAACUCAAAUUACUAACAUCCGUGAUGAAAAAUGAAAUAUCAUGAUGGACACCACAGAAAUACAGAAGAUAAUUAGAAAUUAUUUUAAAAAUUUGUACUCCAAUAAAAUAGAAAAUAUUGAAGGCAUCAACAAAUUUCUAGAGUCAUAUGAUUUGCCCAAACUGAACCAGGAUGAUAUACACAAGUUAAAUAGACCAAUUUCAAGCAAAGAAAUAGAAGACACCAUCAGAAACCUACCAACCAAGAAAAGACCAGGACCAGAUGAAUACACAGAAGAGUUCUAAAAGACCUUCAAAGAAGAACUAAUACCAACUCUCCAAAUUGUUCCAUGAAAUAGAAAAAGAAGGAGCACUUCCAAACUCAUUCUAUGAGGCUAAUAUCACCCUGAUUCCAAAACCAGGCAAAGACACAUCAAAGAAAGAAAACUUCAGACCAAUAUGUCUAAUGAAUAUGGAUCCAAAACUUCUCAAUAAAAUUCUGGCAAAUCAAACACAAAAACAUAUUUAAAAAGAUAGUACACCACGUUCAAGUGGGGUUCAUUCCAGGGAUGCAAGUUUGGUUCAACAUACAGAAAUCAAUAAAUGUAAUUCAUCACAUCAAUAGACACACUUCAAAAGAUUAGAAUCAGAUGAUGCAGAAAAAGCAUUUGACAAAAUACAGCACCUCUUCAUGUUCAAAAUACUAGAAAAACUAGGGAUAAUAGAAACAUGUCUCAACAUUGUAAAAGCUAUCUAUGCUAAGCCAAGACCAACAUCAUUCUAAAUGGAGAAAAAAUUGAAAGCAUUCCCUCUAAAAACUGGAACAAGAUAGGGAUACCCUUUUCACCCCUUCUAUUUAACAUAGUUCUUGAAAUCUAGCCAAAGCAAUUAAACAGACAAAAAAAUUAAAGGGAUACGGAUAGGAAAAGAAGAACACAAACUAUCACUAUUUUCCGACAACAUGAUUCUAUACCUAGAAGAUUCAA